rnacentral:tRNA from 1 species
UAAAAUGUAGUGUAUUGGGAGCACGAAGAGUUUUGAUCUCUGAGGUAUAGGUUCAAUUCCUAUUUUUUUAU